CCUGGAGAUGAUUGAGCCGCGCACGCUACAGUACAAGCUGCUGGAGCCAGUUCUGCUUCUUGGCAAGGAGCGAUUUGCUGGUGUAGACAUCCGUGUCCGUGUGAAGGUGGUGGUCACGUGGCCCAGAUUCAUGCUAUCCGUCAGUCCAUCUCCAAAGCCCUGGUGGCCUAUUACCAGAAAUACGUGGAUAAGGCUUCCAAGAAGGAGAUCAAAGACAUCCUCAUCCAGUAUGACCGGACCCUGCUGGUAGCUGAUCCUCGUCGCUGCGAGUCCAAAAAGUUUGGAGGCCCCGGUGCCCGGGCUCGCUACCAGAAAUCCUACCGAUAAGCCCAUCAUGACUCAAAAUUCACCUGUAUAAUAAACAGUUUUUGAGGGAUUUUAAAGUUUCAAAAAAAAAA